rnacentral:lncRNA from 1 species
AUAAUUAUGAACUGCAGCCAUUAGCUGUUUAUAAAUGAUCGAAAUCAAAGAAUUAAUUGGACAGUGGUUUGUUAAGUGGUGUUCUUAGCAAAUCUUCUAGUUAAAAGUCUGUGUUUUGUUUUUAUAUACUUCUUUAUUUUGUAACCUGAUGAUAUUUGUCAUGUCAUUUUCUUUCUCUAUUUCCUUGCUUCACUCUGGAAUUUAUCUCCUCCCCAGCCUCAGUUUAUUAACCUUCAGGGUAUGGUGUAAUACUAAGCAUUUCCUUAAUUGAGUCAUGUGAAGACGAGUGAGUUUUACUAUCAAGUUUAACAAUUUGCUAUUUUGAAACUCUUGCUAGACCCACAUUAAAUGAGAUGUUAGAGAAUAUUAUGAAGAGUAAAUUUCUCUUUUUACAG